UCUUGUGUCCUAGUAUAUAAAUCAUAAUCUAUGCUUCUAUGUAUAAUCACCUUUUCUGUAUAAAUCUUACUCCUCCCUGCACCAACAGUUGCCGUCGUCCUCCAUCCAAGAUAGCAGCAUGUACCAGAAAUAGAGCCUUCGUGUCGGGUGUAGUCACACUACAAGAAUUUUCCAUGCUAAGCCACUGAGAUCGAGAGAAAGCGCUUCUUCGUGAACGACGCUGUCGCUGCAUUCGGAAUUGACAUUGCCUCCUCUUCGCAACACCGCACCUCCGCCGCUUGCACUGCCGCCAAAUUUUGUUGUUGUCACCGUCGCCAAAGGUUGUUGCUGGUAUUCUGUUUUUCUUUGGUGGCCAAACUUGUUGCUCGUUGCUCAGCUUGCUCUCCAUGGCCGCCAUUUGAAUAAGUUGUAUUUCACUCUUGCUGCUGCAAAUGGUGUAGUCAUUGCAACAGAGAAGACACUGCCAUCUAUAUUGGUUGAUGAAGCAUCAGUCCAGAAAAUUCAGUUAUUAACACCAAAUAUAGGGGUUGUAUAAAGGUAUACUAAAAUAGAUGAUUCUCCUCAUAUUUUGUGCACAAUAAUAAAAGGAAAGAAUGAUGGAAAAAA